rnacentral:sRNA from 1 species
AGUCUCCUGUGUCUACUUCUUUCUACACAGACACAGUAACAAUCUGAUCUUUCUUUUCCCCACACAUUACUGAUAUGAACGUUGUUGAUAGGUAAGAUUACCAGUGUAGGCUGGCAGUGGUGGCUCACCCCUGUAAUCCCAACGCUUUGAGAGGCCAACGUGGGCAGAUCACUUGAGCCCAGGAGUUUGAGAUCAGCCUGGGCAAUAUAGUGAGACCUCGUCUAUGUAACAACAGCAGCAACAAAAUCUUAGCACUUCGGGGGGCUGAGGCAGGAAGAUCACUUGAGCCCAGAAAUUCAAGACCAGCCUGGGCAACGUAGUGAGACCCCAUCUCUAUAAAUAAAUACAAAUAAAAGCAAAUAAUUUAAAAGAAUAAACAUUGUGAACAUCAAUUCCCAUCACAGCAAGCCCUGGAUGAAAACAUGGACCUCUUGGAAGGUAUAACUGGCUUUGAAGACUCUGUCCGAAAGUUUAUCUGCCAUGUUGUGGGUAUCACUUACCAGCACAUUGACCGCUGGCUGCUGGCCGAGAUGCUCGGGGAUCUGUCGGACAGCCAGCUAAAGGUGUGGAUGAGCAAAUACGGCUGGAGUGCCGACGAGUCGGGGCAGAUCUUCAUCUGUAGCCAAGAAGAGAGCAUUAAACCCAAGAACAUUGUGGAGAAGAUUGACUUUGACAGUGUGUCCAGCAUCAUGGCCUCCUCCCAGUAACUUC